AACGAACGCUGGCGGCAGGCCUAACACAUGCAAGUCGAGGGAGAAGGUUACUUCGGUAACUGGAGACCGGCAGACGGGUGAGUAACACGUGGGAACAUACCGAGUAGUGGGGGAUAACAGUUGGAAACGACUGCUAAUACCGCAUACGCCCUUCGGGGGAAAGAUUUAUCGCUAUUUGAUUGGCCCGCGUUAGAUUAGCUAGUUGGUAAGGUAACGGCUUACCAAGGCGACGAUCUAUAGCUGGUUUGAGAGGAUGAUCAGCCACACUGGGACUGAGACACGGCCCAGACUCCUACGGGAGGCAGCAGUGGGGAAUAUUGCGCAAUGGAGGAAACUCUGACGCAGCCAUGCCGCGUGAGUGAAGAAGGCCUUAGGGUUGUAAAGCUCUUUCAGAUGUGAUGAUGAUGACAGUAGCAUCAAAAGAAGUUCCGGCUAACUUCG
rnacentral:rRNA from 1 species